GGCAGAGUAGCUCAGUUGUUUAGAGCACCAGUGGCGCAAAUAUCACUUGGAGGUCCUGGGUUCAAAUCCUGGUUCAGCCA